GGAAGUCCACGCUGCCACCACGGGGUCACCACAGGGAGCCUGGUGGGGACACAGAGUAAAAAGAAUAGAAAAUAACCAAAUGUCAAGACUGCAACUGGGGUGGAGCCAAGCUGCUGCGGAUGUUGCCAAGGGCCCUUCCCGGGAGAGCCAGGUGGGGUACCCACAUGCCACCUUCUCCUCAGGUGGAGCCACCGCCUGUGGCCUCCUGUGGGGCCAGCCUGGACUGCAGCUGCCAGGACCUAGUGAUGGCCCCAAACCUGAGAGUGGGCCCAGAGUCCCACCCCGCUAACCAUGCUGAAAAAGGCCACAGGGCACAUGAAGCCUUUGCUCCCUGGAUCAGGUCACGCUCUCCAGUUUUCCUUCCAGGAGGACAGGCCAUGCACUAAAAAACAGCUGCAGAGGAAAGGCUGGACCAGGUGUGCUGGGAGUCACCAGGAGCAAGGUGGUGAAGAUGGAGUUUCCCUCUUGUUGCCCAGGCUGGACAGCGAUGCGCGAUCUCCAUUCACUGCAACCUCUGCCUCCUAGGUUCAAGCGAUUCUCCUGCCGCAGCCUCGCGAGUAGCUGGGAUUACUGGCCUGUGCCACCACGCCCGACUAAUUUUGUGUUUUUAGUAGAGACAGGGUUUCUCCAUGUUGGUCAGGCUUGUCUCAAAC
rnacentral:lncRNA from 1 species